rnacentral:rRNA from 1 species
AUUGAACGCUGGCGGCAUGCCUUACACAUGCAAGUCGAACGGCGGCGGGCCUUCGGGUGCCGGCGAGUGGCGAACGGGUGAGUAAUGCAUCGGAACGUGCCAUUGAGUGGGGGAUAACGUAGCGAAAGUUACGCUAAUACCGCAUAUUCUGUGAGCAGGAAAGCAGGGGACCGCAAGGCCUUGCGCUCUUUGAGCGGCCGAUGUCAGAUUAGCUAGUUGGUGAGGUAAAGGCUUACCAAGGCGACGAUCUGUAGCGGGUCUGAGAGGAUGAUCCGCCACACUGGAACUGAGACACGGUCCAGACUCCUACGGGAGGCAGCAGUGGGGAAUUUUGGACAAUGGGCGCAAGCCUGAUCCAGCCAUGCCGCGUGAGUGAAGAAGGCCUUCGGGUUGUUAAAGGACUCUUUCGGU